CCUCAAAUGAAGCUCUGUCUUCAUGGUUUUGGGA
rnacentral:sRNA from 1 species